AAGUCACUGGGAAGCUGCUUGCAAACCAGUUCUAGAGCAAACCAAAAUAAACAACAAAAAUAUUUAGGAAAGAAGAUCAUUUCGGAUACAGAGAAAAAUGGUUUCCUUCUACUACUAGAGGCCCAUCUAAGUUUUCCUUAUGACCAAGUAUCAGGUCUGAUGUCUGCCCUGGGGAAUGCUACCAUAGCCUCUACCACAGAAGACCGAGCUAGGAGAUCUCAUUCUUUCCACACUACUCUCUCAUCAAUAUUCACAUGUUGAAACUCAGUGCAACCGCUCACCUGCAUUGCUCCAGAAUGCUGGGUAUCUGCUUUUGAUUGUCACACAGACCUCUCACUUUUGAAAUGUUCAAAACUGGACUUGUCAUACACGCUUCAAUCUCCAUCACUAAGAACUCCUCCUCUGAUGUGCCUUAUAUUGGUUUUUCAUACCAUCUUCCAUCACUUCUGAGCCAAGAUCUGAGAAUGUUGUGGAAAUCUCUCUCUUAAUCCACCACUCUGGGAACUAGGAAGAAGAAUUGAAAUGAAUGUACCCGAGAGAAGCUACAUAGAAGAAAUAACAGAGAAUAAUACGGGAGUUAUCGAAUUGCUCAGCGGCAGCAUAUUUCAGUAAGCACCAGCAAAAACAUAUUUCCUGACGGAUCUACUGCUCGUGUGGUUAAUUCAGUCAAAGAAAACGUUUGAUCUGAGUGUUUGACCGACCAGCCAGUGGUUUGACUGAAUUCACAGCCACCGCGGCUGCCCUGGUGGUGCGUGUCCACCCAGGCUUUGUCUGCGUGCCGGCAGUCUCUGAACAGAGAGCACACAGCAUAUGCCAGGUGGCCAUGUGUCUGAGGCAGAGGGAGGGGAGAACAAAGCAGAAAAAGCUUCCAUUUGGACAGAGAUCCUUUAAGCCAUCCGACUGCCAGUAAAAUGUUAAAGAGAGAAGAAAAUGCAACGAUGCCUGAAUACGCUCAACAGUAAACAACUUCAAGCCCAAGAUUCAGAUCACAAAUCUUCCUGUGCUGCUGAUGACAUGCUCAGCUUGAGUGUGGUUGCAGGAGACAAAGAAACCUGCUCCAAGAAGAAAACAGGAGCGGAGAGCCUCACGCCGACUUUAAUCUGUCUCAGAUGCGUGUUUUAGGAAUCUAUUACACCAUAAUCACUAUGUUCUCAUGUCAGAAACCUGUUCUGUUGAAGGAUGACUAGAAAGAGAGAUGCCUCCUGUUGCCUCAGCUUCCAGGAUUCCGGUAUAAAACCGCUGCCAUUUGCACUGUACGCUAAUGACAAGCUGGAUGUUUGCAUGAAAGCCAAUAUGUUCUUACACUGCUUUUUGAGACAAGUAAUAAUCAGUCUGUCAUCAAUGUCAUGCUGCAAUCAGGCUUUGACAAGGUUUGCAAAUAACGUGAAAGGAAUUGCUCAUCCCUGAACACUGCAGAUCAAAACCAGACCUGAACAAAAACUAAGAGUCUGCUUCACGUCAGCUGCACAGUCUCUAGGAACGUGCUGUGCAUAAGCAGCAGCAGCAGCAGCAGCAGCAGAGGGAAAGCCAAGCCUUAAUCUCCACCCCAACCCCUCCAUUGUUCAUUUUUUGCGGAGAAGACCUUUUCUCAGCUACCAAUCCUAGAACUCACUAUUCAAAAAUGUGACGUAGCCACCUAAAAUGCUUAGCCUGAUUGGAAGGACUCUUGGUAUUGUUCUGGGAAAUGUUUGGAAAAACAAACAACACAUCCAUCCUUGGGGUGAUUUGGUCUCUUAACUCAGGGGCUGGAGUAGGCAGAAUUUCUGAUCAAAGUCAGCACUCCUAUCAGUGAGAGGAUUGGGUACAGAAAUUGAACCACCAAUUGCAUCCUCUUCCUUCUUUCUCUCCUCAAUCCUUCCUGUACCCUAGAAGAGGUGAGAUGUGUGUUAUUUAUUCACUGCUCUUCCUGACACUUGAUAAUUUGCAGGCUUUCACAGACAUAAGAAUAAGUUAUAUGUAUAUAACUGUAAGACUGGUCAUAGAAAUUAUGCUCCUAAAACUUUGAGAACAAGAUUCUUAGGAGGGGAAAAAAUUCUUUCAGGGGUGGCAACUGGUCACAGGUCUGCUCAGAGCUUCAAAGCAUGUUAGUACUUCAUGUUUGUACAAGUAGCAGGGCAACCACAUGACAUAUGGUUUUAAGCCUUCCUAAUUUAUGCCUAAGCACGAGCAUAGAUUUGAGAUGUAAAUUAAUUGUUGAUCUUAUUUUGACAUAAGAGAUGGAUUUAGUUCAGUUAUUUUGUUUUUCUUUACAAGAACCCCUGAAAAUCAGGUUCUACUGAGGGACAAAGUUACUUGAAGAUGGUAAUGGAAAGAAAAAAGCAAAUGCAUUUUAAGUGAAAAGUCCCCAUUCAUCUUGUUACAGUCACUUGAGACUAUGGGCCAUAUAGUCUUAAAAAGCACUGUACAGUAAAGUGUCCAUUUAAUAAAUAUAUGUUGAAUACCAUCAUAUUGGCUCAGUACAUGGUAGGUAUUAUGACAUGUAAGCAUAGUGUGUAAAAAUUGAGCCUUAUGUUUCCAAGGAGUUUAUAAACUGGUUAAGGAGAAAAAGAAAAAAUCAAUAA